AUUGAACGCUGGCGGCAGGCUUAACACAUGCAAGUCGAGCGAGCGGCGGACGGGUGAGUAUUGUUUGGGAAACUGCUUGAUGGAGGGGGAUACCUACUGGAAACGGUAGCUAAUACCGCAUACCACCAGAUGUGCCCAGAUGGGAUUAGCUAGUAGGUGGGGUAAUGGCUCACCUAGGCGACGACCCCUUGCUGGUCUGCGAGGAUGACCAGACAAAAAGGAGCUGAGACACGGUCCAGACUCCUACGGGGGGCAGCAGUGGGGAAGAUUGCACAAUGGGCGCAAGCCUUAUGCAGCCAUGCCGCGUGUGUGAAGAAGGCCUUCGGGUUGUAAAACAAUUUCAGGGAGGAGGCAUUACUCGCAGAAAAAGCACCGGCGAACUACGUGCCAGCAGCCGCGGUAAUAC
rnacentral:rRNA from 1 species